GGUCAGGUGGCGGAAUGGUAACGCAUGCGAGAUGAAUAGCACCUGCAACGUUUACUCGCGAGGUCUCCGUUCGAUUCGGGGUCUGGCCU